UGUUCAACAACAGAAAAGAAAGAGGAGAAUUGCUGGAAGGUCUUGUGGUUAACAACAAAGACACAAUCAUCCCAAAUUUUUCCCAGAGGAUACAUCUUCUUUGGGGUGGGAAUGAUCAGAUUUUCAAGCUGGAACUUGCACAGAAAAUGAAAGAACAGCUUGGGGACAAAGCUACAGUUGAAGGCAUAGAGAAAGCAGGUCAUUUGGUUCACCUAGAACGACCGUGCGUCUACAAUAGUUGUCUCAACAACUUCCUUGCUUCCUUCCAUGCACAUGCAAAUACAAAUCAAUUUUCUUUUUAAUUUCCUAUUUUAAAAUUAAUGGAGAUAUAAUUGUUUGUAUGUAUUGGAUCACUAUUGAAUUUGGUCAUGUAUUAAUUCAUGCCUGAGGAUUUUAAUUGAUUGAUGAUAGAAAAAGCUUUGUGAA